CGUCUAUAUACGUAUAGCAUAUCAAUAAGCGGAGGAAAAGAAACUAACAAGGAUUCCCUUAGUAACGGCGAGUGAAGCGGGAAGAGCUCAAAUUUGAAAUCUUCAAGGUUCUACCUUGACGAAUUGUAGUUUAAAGAAGUGUUUUCUGUUAGAUGAGGUGGCUAAAAGUUCUUUGGAAUAGGACAUCAUAGAGGGUGAGAAUCCCGUAUUUGAUCACUUCCUUACUAACGUUGUGAUACACUUUCAAAGAGUCGGAUUGUUUGGGAAUGCAGUCCAAAAUGGGUGGUAAAUUUCAUCUAAGCUAAAUAUUGGCGAGAGACCGAUAGCGAACAAGUACCGUGAGGGAAAGAUGAAAAGAACUUUGAAAAGAGAGUUAGACAGUACGUGAAAUUGUCAAAAGGGAAGCGUUUGACACCAGUGUUGUUUAGUUGAAAAUCAAUUCAAUAUUUUUUGAUUCUAAGUAGUAUUGACUUCAUCAGCUUGCUGCUUUCUUCUCAGAAAUUAUUUAAUGCACUUUUCAGUUAACAAGUCAACAUCAAUUUCUUUUGUUGUAAAAGAGUAAUAGGAAUGGUGGCUUUCUCUUCGGCGCAAGUGUUUAUAGCCUUUGAUCUCUGCAAUCGGAGAGAUUGAGGUCUGCAGCGUAGAUCCUUCGGGGUUAGAUACAUUGUGCUAAGCUAUAGCCUUUAUAGACAACUUGUUGACUAUGCUCAGUCAUGUAGCUUACUCGCUUAUGCUAUUUUACCUACGCUUAGGAUGUUGACGAGACUGUCGAUCUC
rnacentral:rRNA from 1 species